GAGGCCCUGGUGGACAAUGCCCGAAGCCUUCGAGCCCUGGACAGUGCUGACAGCUUUGAGACCUUCUGGCCAUGGGGCUGUGUGUCCCGCUGACCCCAGGUGGCCUCCGGAGCUCCUGUCCAGGGCACUCGUGCCCUGCCUGGGGAGGGCCCCGUUUGUCCUUGCCAGGGCCAAGUCCUUGGGUGCUCUGUGGAACCCCCAGGAGCUGGCAGUGCCUCUCCUGCACGGACCCCUCAGCCCAGCACUGAGUAAGUACUGCCCAAUUACUCCUUGUCCUCUUGUUUGUUGUGUGUCUCAGUUUCCAGCCCCGAAGGAGCCUUUGCCACACGUGGCCUUCCCAGUGUUUGAAUUACAUCCUGCAGUGACAGUUUGACAAUCACCUGUGGGAUAUUCCAUUGUGCCCUGACCUUGGUGCAUUUCCAGCCUUUCCAGGGGAUUGUAGUGUGUUCUGUAAAGCCUGGCCAAGUUAAUGUUCAGCUGUCAAUUAAACUAAACACUGUGCUUGCUUCUGUUUUCUAUUAAUUUUAGGAGAUUCUUUAAUUAUUUUGUGGGAAUAGUCAACUAUGACCUCUUGCUGGAGGGCUGUAAUUUCAGGAUGUGCAUAUUCAUCAAUGAUUUUUUUUUUUUGAUAGGUAAGUACCCACUUACCAUCAUCCUCUGUGCCACCCUCUGAGCUGUGGGACCCCUUUGAAGGUGACCAGUGCCUGUGUACCAUAGAAACAUCUUCUAGUGGAAAUAGAAGAAUUUGCAGAGCUGUUCUUCACUGAUACUUCCAUUCCCAGUUUAGAAAUUAGGAUUUGUAGAAUUUUAGUACAUUUUGAGAAGACAAGAGGUCUGCAUGUGGCAGUGCACACACAGAUUGCAGGAAUGAGUUGUCGUGCAAUAAUCAACUUCUCAAGCUCUUCUAGAUAGCAACUUUUAAACAACAGGUUCUUUUCCAAGUUUUUUUUUUUGCAUUUUUUUGGUAGGAAUAAAGAAAUGCAAGAUUAAAAGGACAGAAAAACAAAAUAAAGAACUUCAAAUGUUUUAUCUGUAUCUUUCUUCAUAUUUUUGUUGACUUAACAAUCAAUGAAUUCUAUUUAACUUUGUUUUAUCAGUUGGCCUUAAUGAUUGAUUUUAAUUCAGAGUUUCGUAAAAACAGGUGGUUUCUUAGAUGGCCACAGUCCAAGUCAGUGUGGAUGGGCAACAGCUUGGACAAAUUUAUUGAUGUAUUUAUACAGUGACUGUGUUAACAUCUGGGUUUCAAACACAUCACAUCAAUUCCACAGCACGUAACCAGGAGCAAAAGUGGAAAUACCAGUUCCUGCCCUCACCUUUCCCAGGAUUUCAUUUGCGAACCAGCUUUUAAAAAAAAUAUUCCAGGUCAGGAGGUGAUGCAAUGAGCACAUCAGCACACGCCUGUGGGAAAGACAAUUAUGAGUGUCAUGUGCAAAACUUUCAUACCAUCUGUCAGGUUGAACAGGAGCAAACAGUGAUUGCAUAAAGAGAGGAGGAAUUUUGUGUAUUUUCCUGGAAGUGCUGCAAAGCCUAGUGAAUGUUUUUGUAAAGUAAUUUAGUGACACUUUUUCAGUAAAUAAAACUUCUAUGUCUCAAAGA